GAUAUUUUCGCUCGGGAGGUCAAAAUCCCUAAAACAGGGUCGGGUCUUCCCCCAUCGAGCUGCUCCUCUCACCCCCACGACCAGCGCCGCCGCUUGCCCGCCCACCGCCCAGUUCUGAUCCGCUGACUCCCUCCCCAUCGAGCCGCCCACAUCGCCGUUGAGCACCGACUCCACGCCUCCAGCGCAGCUUCCCUCCCCAUCUAGCGCGGCAUCCAUCGCCGGCGACUUCCAGAUCCGCCUCCCUGGCCGGCGACUUCCAGAUCCUCCUCCGUCGCCGUGUAUAUGUAGCUCCCUCCCCAACCAGUGAGUGCCAGAUCCGCCUCCGUCGCCGUGUAUACGUAGCUCCCUCCCCGACCAGGUUCUUAUAUGAUCAUUCAUUCAGACCAAAAUCAUGUUGGUGAUGGUGCUACAAGGAAUCUAGUGCUUGUUGCAAAAACAAGAGAGAACGACAUAGGGACAUCACACUCCAAUGUCGUAGCAAGAUUUAUCGAGGAAAAAUGGUCAGUUGGGAAGGCCCUGCAACAAUGAUUCCCUUGCCGUCCAGCCACUCCAGCGCCACCUACCUCCCCGUCAACCGGCGCCUCCCUCACCGUCCAGCCACUCCAGCUCUGUCUCUCGGUUCACUGUCGCCUACCUCGCCGUCCAGCCACCCUCCAGCUCCGUCUCUCCAUCGACCGACGCCUCCCGUCCAGAUCUGCCUCCCUCGCCGGCCAGCUACCUCGUCCUCGUGUCUCCCUCCCAGUCCAGCGCCUCCUAGUCAAGGAGCAUCUUGCAAGUUCGCGCAAAUUUGCUUUAUCUUCAAAAGGACAAUAAUUGUUAAUCUUAAAUUAAUUGAGACAUAUUGUGAUUCGUUCAUGGUUACAGAAGAAGUACUACAAAGCUUUUCAAGAUGCAUAUCCAGUAGAUUAGAAGGAACUGAGAUUAUGUACUCUGCUGGUGAUGCUAUAAAGAAGCUGGGACGGCUGGAUGGGAAAUACCCGAAGACCUUUGAGCCUUUCAAGAUCAGCUGAUGGAUGGUAGUGAUCUGCUUAUGAGAAGAAGUCGUUGUAGGUACUUGGGGCCACGGUUGACUCUUGGGUGGGCGAAGGCCCUCAAGCACCUCCACUUGAACUUCUGAUGAAUGGAAUCUUCCAAGCCCAAGGGAAUGCUGGUACUCCAUUGACAAAAUCUUCCCAUGAUGAAGACCAUCCUCAUGCUACUCAUGCGGAUGAGCACAGUUCUACUCCAACACAGGUGCCAGCAGACCUCCUGGUUUUCGGGGAGGUCGUUGACGGCGGGGCCCGCGGCGCGUGGAGGAGGAGGAGGCCGGACACUACCCCAAGUUGACUUUUUCCUGACGGCCAUAUUCCGUCAGGAAUGAACUGUUUUCGUCAGGAAUGAUCCCCUCCCAUCAGGAAUUUCCCGCCAGCAACAGCUUGUCAGGAAAGACAGUAUUUCCUGAUGGUGCCCGUCAGGAAUGUUGUUCCUGACUGUGUUUCCUGAUGGGAGUCCUGAGAUGCCCAUAUUCAAAUUCCUGACGGCCAUACCGUCAGGAAGUGCCAUCAGGAAAUUGGCUGUCACGAAUAUCUUCUGCUCCUGACAGCUAGUGGCACUCAGGACCAUACCUUCAAGAAUGAGGUCAACAUAUCCAUGGCGGCUGGCUUCGUCAGGAAAGUAUAUAUAUAUAUAUUUAUAUAUUCAGCCACCUGUCAAAUCAUCUCACAUUCAUGCGUACGCAAAGGUCACACAACCCUGUUUAAAAUAAAAUCCAAUUCCUAGGUCACAAUGUACCCAUACAAGUUAUUCAAAUCUCAUUGUUCGCAAGAUCCACACAUUUAUAUCCAAGUCAUUAUUCAUGGCAGCUCAACUUAACAGGAGGUGUCACCAAGUCCAAAACACGCACACUAGUUGAUUCCUAAAUUGCCAGGAGAAGCAAUUGAGAAAGAAAGCCUACCUAGUUCAUAAUAUUAACCACUAAUUAUGCUACCGGAAUUCCUAAUUGAUUGUUCUGUGUUGGAGUAGAACUGUGCUCAUCGGCAUGAGUAGCAUGAGGAUGGUCUUCAUCAUGGGAAGAUUUUGUCAAUGGAGUACCAGCAUUCCCUUGGGCUUGGAAGGUUCCAUUCAUCUAUACAAUAGAAAAAUCUAUUUCAAUGAGCAAUGGUGAAAGGCAAAACUAUGAUAUAUACAAGUUUUCAAACCAAAAGGUAAACUCCAGAUCAUGACACACUUGUUGCUAGGCACCAAGCAAGUGAAGAAGACUUUUCUUAUUGCCCAACACAGGCUGCAAUAAUGAAAAUGUAACAGGAACAUAAUGAAAAGAAAUUAACGAAGUAUGCCAAGUACUAAACUGCAUGUUCAGAACUAGCACUACAUGUAGAAAACUAGCAGUAAGCGGGCAUAUUUAUAGAUUUCCAAUGCAAGUUCCAAACAUCAGCGGUUUAACAUCACUACAAGAACUUGAUGUAUUCCAAGUAAGCACGGAACAUGGGCAUGAGCUAAAACAGUUGGGGAGCCUAAACAAGCUGCAAGGCAAUCUGAAAAUUCAUCAUCUUGAAAAUGUGAAAAACAAGAAAGAAGCGAAUGAUGCAAAGUUGGCUGAUAAGAAAGACUAAUAUGACUGGAACUGUCCUGGGGUGGUUCCUUAUGGACUUGCUCACCAGAAGUUCAAGUGGAGGUGCUCGAGGGCCUUCGCCCACCCAAGGGUCAACGGUGGCCCCAAGUACCUACAACGACUUCUUCUCAUAUGCAUUCGUGAAGGAAAUUAGAAUAACUGGAGACAUACUCAUAAAUGCAAGUUUAGAGGUAUAUACAUCUAUGAAUUCUAUCAAUGCAGCAUGUUUUUAAGGGAACAACUAUGCAACAUGUUAUGCCUGCUUGCCGAUGAA